ACAUCUGAAGGAGAUUAAAGAUUUAUCGGUGAUGGAUGGGGAUGCGUCUGAUUAGCUUGUUGGCGGGGUAACGGCCCACCAAGGCGACGAUCAGUAGGGGUUCUGAGAGGAAGGUCCCCCACAUUGGAACUGAGACACGGUCCAAACUCCUACGGGAGGCAGCAGUGAGGAAUAUUGGUCAAUGGGCGAGAGCCUGAACCAGCCAAGUAGCGUGCAGGAUGACGGCCCUAUGGGUUGUAAACUGCUUUUAUAAGGGAAUAAAGUGAGUCUCGUGAGACUUUUUGCAUGUACCUUAUGAAUAAGGACCGGCUAAUUCCGUGCCAGCAGCCGCGGUAAUACGGAAGGUCCGGGCGUUAUCCGGAUUUAUUGGGUUUAAAGGGAGCGUAGGCCGGAGAUUAAGCGUGUUGUGAAAUGUAGAUGCUCAACAUCUGCACUGCAGCGCGAACUGGUUUCCUUGAGUACGCACAAAGUGGGCGGAAUUCGUGGUGUAGCGGUGAAAUGCUUAGAUAUCACGAAGAACUCCGAUUGCGAAGGCAGCUCACUGGAGCGCAACUGACGCUGAAGCUCGAAAGUGCGGGUAUCGAACAGGAUUAGAUACCCUGGUAGUCCGCACGGUAAACGAUGGAUGCCCGCUGUUGGUCUGAAUAGGUCAGCGGCCAAGCGAAAGCAUUAAGCAUCCCACCUGGGGAGUAC
rnacentral:rRNA from 1 species